rnacentral:rRNA from 1 species
GAACCGUGCGAACGUUGUUCGGAAUCACUGGGCUUAAAGGGCGCGUAGGCGGGCAGGCGAGUCCGGGGUGAAAUCCCACGGCCCAACCGUGGAAGUGCCUCGGAUACCGCCGGCCUCGAGGGAGGUAGGGGCGUGUGGAACUUCCGGUGGAGCGGUGAAAUGCGUAGAGAUCGGAAGGAACGCCGGUGGCGAAAGCGACACGCUGGACCUCUGCUGACGCUGAGGCGCGAAAGCCAGGGGAGCGAACGGGAUUAGAUACCCCGGUAGUCCUGGCCCUAAACGAUGGGUACUAGGUAGUGGACUGGACAUGGGUUCACUGCCGAAGCCAAAGUGUUAAGUACCCCGCCUGGGGAGUAUGGUCGCAAGGCUGAA